AGUUCACCGUCCCUGCAUUUCUCCACGUCAGCAUCCUGGAGGUCACAGCAGCAAGCGGUUGGAGGCGUUCUGGUGCCAAGCCCAUGUGCGAGGGAAGGAUGCGGCCGCGUGCAGGCUCUGAGAGGAGGCACAGCCUGCGGCCAUUGCUUGCAGCGUGCUCCGGCAGCUGGCUGGCCGCGACUCACCCACUUUUACCUGCUCCUUUGCAACCGUCUUGGCAGCUCAGCAAAAGCGUGGAGCCAAUCUUUUGGGCAAAGCAUAAUGGAUGCUGAGCUUGGAUUGCUUCUGGCCCAUCUGUGUGUGCAGAAAGACAGUCUUGUGGGACAAGUCAAGAUUGCAAACCUCUAUGGCUAGAUGCUCUCCAACAAAUUCAUCAAGGUCGAUGAGAAUGAGGAACUUCUAAGCGGGGCACAGCAGUCUGGGGACAGGC